UGGGGAAUUUUGGACAAUGGGGGCAACCCUGAUCCAGCAAUGCCGCGUGUGUGAAGAAGGCCUUCGGGUUGUAAAGCACUUUUGUCCGGGAAGAAAUCGCACCUGAUAAUACCGGGUGUGGUUGACGGUACCGGAAGAAUAAGGACCGGCUAACUACGUGCCAGCAGCCGCGGUAAUACGUAGGGUCCAAGCGUUAAUCGGAAUUACUGGGCGUAAAGCGUGCGCAGGCGGUUGUGCAAGACCGAUGUGAAAUCCCCGGGCUUAACCUGGGAAUUGCAUUGGUGACUGCACGGCUAGAGUGUUUCAGAGGGGAGUAGAAUUCCACGUGUAGCAGUGAAAUGCGUAGAGAUGAGGAGGAAUACCGAUGGCGAAGGCAGCCCCCUGGGAUAACACUGACGCUCAUGCACGAAAGCGUGGGGAGCAAACAGG
rnacentral:rRNA from 1 species